UCGUCACACUAUCAUUAACUGAAUCCAUAGGUUAAUGAGGCGAACCGGGGGAACUGAAACAUCUAAGUACCCCGAGGAAAAGAAAUCAACCGAGAUUCCCCCAGUAGCGGCGAGCGAACGGGGAGGAGCCCAGAGCCUGAAUCAGCAUGUGUGUUAGUGGAAGCGUCUGGAAAGGCGCGCGAUACAGGGUGACAGCCCCGUACACAAAAGCGCAUGUGCUGUGAGCUCGAUGAGUAGGGCGGGACACGUGGUAUCCUGUCUGAAUAUGGGGGGACCAUCCUCCAAGGCUAAAUACUCCUGACUGACCGAUAGUGAACCAGUACCGUGAGGGAAAGGCGAAAAGAACCCCGGCGAGGGGAGUGAAAAAGAACCUGAAACCGUGUACGUACAAGCAGUGGGAGCCCCACCACUAAGCCAGUGGUGAACUCCACAUACGCAUCCUUUGCUGAGGAUACGGUUAACGGAGCGAAAGCGACGUUCAACCUCAAAAGAAGCAGAGGGGGCUUAGUGGUGGGGUGACUGCGUACCUUUUGUAUAAUGGGUCAGCGACUUAUAUUCUGUAGCAAGGUUAACCGCAUAGGGGAGCCGGAGGGAAACCGAGUCUUAAUUGGGCGUUAAGUUGCAGGGUAUAGACCCGAAACCCGGUGAUCUAGCCAUGGGCAGGUUGAAGGUUGGGUAACACUAACUGGAGGACCGAACCGACUAAUGUUGAAAAAUUAGCGGAUGACCUGUGGCU
rnacentral:rRNA from 1 species